rnacentral:rRNA from 1 species
UACGGAGGGUGCGAGCGUUAUCCGGAUUCACUGGGUUUAAAGGGUGCGUAGGUGGGCAGGUAAGUCAGUGGUGAAAUCUCCGGGCUUAACCCGGAAACUGCCAUUGAUACUAUCAGUCUUGAAUACCGUGGAGGUAAGCGGAAUAUGUCAUGUAGCGGUGAAAUGCUUAGAUAUGACAUAGAACACCAAUUGCGAAAGGCAGCUUACUACCCGAAUAUUGACACUGAGGCACGAAAGCGUGGGGAUCAAACAGG